GCCUUAUGGAAGCCAUGCCCGGGUGUAUGAAGAAGGCCUUUCGGGUUGUAAAGUACUUUCAGCAGUGAGGAAGGUGGGUAAUGUUAAUAGCAUACUUCAUUUACGUUAGCUGCCAGAAGAAGCACCCGGCUAACUUCCGUGCCAGCAGCCGGCGGUAAUACGGAGGGUGCGAGCGUUAAUCGGAAUUACUGGGCGUAAAGCGCAUGCAGGUGGUUUGUUAAGUCAGAUGUGAAAGCCCGGGGCUCAACCUCGGAAUUGCAUUUGAAACUGGCAAACUAGAGUACUGUAGAGGGGGGUAGAAUUUCAGGUGUAGCGGUGAAAUGCGUAGAGAUCUGAAGGAAUACCGGUGGCGAAGGCGGCCCCCUGGACAGAUACUGACACUCAGAUGCGAAAGCGUGGGGAGCAAACAGGAUUAGAUACCCUGGUAGUCCACGCCGUAAACGAUGUCUACUUGGAGGUUGUGGCCUUGAGCCGUGGCUUUCGGAGCUAACGCGUUAAGUAGACCGCCUGGGGAGUACGGUCGCAAGAUUAAAACUCAAAUGAAUUGACGGGGGCCCGCACAAGCGGUGGAGCAUGUGGUUUAAUUCGAUGCAACGCGAAGAACCUUACCUACUCUUGACAUCUACAGAAGCCAGCGGAGACGCAGGUGUGCCUUCGGGAACUGUAAGACAGGUGCUGCAUGGCUGUCGUCAGCUCGUGUUGUGAAAUGUUGGGUUAAGUCCCGCAACGAGCGCAACCCUUAUCCUUGUUUGCCAGCACUUCGGGUGGGAACUCCAGGGAGACUGCCGGUGAUAAACCGGAGGAAGGUGGGGACGACGUCAAGUCAUCAUGGCCCUUACGAGUAGGGCUACACACGUGCUACAAUGGCGCAUACAGAGGGCGGCCAACUUGCGAAAGUGAGCGAAUCCCAAAAAGUGCGUCGUAGUCCGGAUUGGAGUCUGCAACUCGACUCCAUGAAGUCGGAAUCGCUAGUAAUCGUGGAUCAGAAUGCCACGGUGAAUACGUUCCCGGGCCUUGUACACACCGCCCGUCACACCAUGGGAGUGGGCUCCAAAAGAAGUGGGUAGUUUAACCUUCGGGAGGACGCUCACCACUUUGUGGUUCAUGACUGGGGUGAAGUCCUAACAAGGUAACCG
rnacentral:rRNA from 1 species